rnacentral:rRNA from 1 species
UUAAAUUGAAGAGUUUGAUCAUGGCUCAGAUUGAACGCUGGCGGCAGGCCUAACACAUGCAAGUCGAACGGUAACAGGAAGCAGCUUGCUGCUUYGCUGACGAGUGGCGGACGGGUGAGUAAUGUCUGGGAAACUGCC